AGCCCAAGUGAAUCUGCUCUUGUCAUCGAGGAUGGUCAAUGUGACAAAAUAAGCAGUCUGGGCCUCGCCUCCCCAGCUCCAGCGCGCUAGGGCCAGGCCUGUCGGAGGCGUUCGGAGCGACAAGCAGAACAAGGGCACGCGCCCCGCCGCGCCCGGCCGGCCGGCCGGCCGGGCAGACCCAGUGCGGCGCGGGCAUCGGACACCGGACACCGAGCGGAGCGCGGGUUAGAGGCGUGGAGCCGGGGAAGGGCGCAUGCAGGCAUUGCUAGGCUCCAAGCUGUGAAGUCGCUUCCAGAAGUCAAAUUGUUCUGAUUUUCCAACAAAGGCGUGGGCUCCUCUGUUUCUUUUUAAGUUCUGCAAUCCAGCUGACAAAUCAAGGCAUUUUUCCCAUUGAGAAUUAGGAAUCAGUCAUCGUUGGCGCUCCUGGAAAACUGCCAAGUCCCUCCAGAGGUACCUGUGAAGGCAUAAAAUAUAUUCUUACUUAUUUUAUGAA